UGACAAUAUUCUUUUUGAAGACCUGACUCAGCCCUGGUGUCUGCAUUAUCUCUCAGACUCCUCACGGUGCUCAGUGAUGAAGAGACCGUCGCCACCACUUGUACAGCACAAGGAGUCUGUUCACUGCUGUAUGUGGAGCUCAGAGAGCAGCACCCGGCUCAGAAUAGGUACCUGAUACACAUCUGUCCUCAAGGAAUGCAUGGACUACCAACACAACUCUCCUCUUUGGCUGCAUGCUAUGCCUGACAGCCUCAUCCCCAUUUGAAAAGCUGGGGAAAGUGAGGCCCAAAUACCUCAAGGAAAUCCAGACUCAAGCUGGAACAAAGACUUCACUCCUCUUCUGGGGCUCAGCUGGUCAAGGAGACCUGCUGCUGACAUUUCACCGAAGAACUCCAACAAUAAGACUCUCUUCUAUUAGCGAGAAUUAUAUUCACACCUCCUACGGGGAGAAACCCUGAUUUUAUGAAGGUAAAACCACAUUGUGAUUAACACUUAAUCAGGAUCUUAUCUACAUUACAGCUCUGCAAGGUAAAAAAAAUAGUUGGGGGUCUUAAUAUCAUGCUAGUAAUGUUACAAUGAGUGCGUUCCUGACACGAUUUUCUUAUUAGGGUCCUUCCCUGUAAAUUUUAUUGCAUUUAAUUAAAAAUUAUUGCUAAAAGAAACAGCUGCAGAUGGUCUUAUUUUAAGUCAGAAAAUUAAAAACUGAGUAUUCUCAUCAGUCAAUUUCAACAAGAAGCACAGCCACAUGCAUUAGGAUGUGAUGGUUUUGAGAUUAUAAUAAUUUUCAUGGCAUUUCUAGGUCCUUU
rnacentral:lncRNA from 1 species